UAGCCGGCAGGCGCGGACUUCGGCCUGGCGGUAGUGGCGAACGGGUGAGUAUAUAUCGGAACGUACCCAGAGAGUCGGGGGAUAACGUAGCGAAAGUUACGCUGAAUACCUGCAUACGUCCUAAGAGGUGAAAGUGGGGGAUCCGCACAGACCUCAGUGCUCAUGGAGCGGCCGAUAUCUGAUUAGCUAGUUGGUGGGGUAAAAGGCUCACCAAGGCAACGGAUCAGUAGCUGGUCUGAGAGGACGACCAGCCACGACGUGGAACUGAGACACGGUCCAGACUCCUAACGGGAGGCAGCAGUGGGGAAUUUUGGACAAUGGACGCAAGUCUGAUCCAGCCAUUCCGCGUGCAGGACGAAGGCCUUCGGGUUGUAAACUGCUUUUGUACAGAACGAAAAGGUUUCUAUUAAUACUAGGAGCUCAUGACGGUACUGUAAGAAUAAGCACCGGCUAACUACGUGCCAGCAGCCGCGGUAAUACGUAGGGUGCAAGCGUUAAUCGGAAUUACUGGGCGUAAAGCGUGCGCAGGCGGUUAUGUCAAGACAGAGGUGAAAUCCCCGGGCUCAACCUGGGAACUGCCUUUGUGACUGCAUAGCUGGAGUACGGCAGAGGGGGAUGGAAUUCCGCGUGUAGCAGUGAAAUGCGUAGAUUGCGGAGGAGACACCGAUGGCGGAAAAGGGGCAUUCCCCCUUGGGGGCCUGGUUACCUUGGGACCGCUUCAUUGGCCGAAAAGGCCGUUGGGGGGCAGCCCAAACUGGGAUUUGCAUUCCCCUGGUUAGUUCCACGGCCCUUACUCGAUGUCAACUGGGUUGUUGGGUCUUUCACUGGAUCCCGUCGAAGCUAACCGUUGCAAUUUGACCGCUCCUGGGGAU
rnacentral:rRNA from 1 species